AUUUUGUUUUAAUUCUUUAAAGAGUUCUGCUACUAUUAAGAGUCCUUUUGAGAUUGUUACUGGUCAAUAACUUUUGGUGUCUCAUACUCUGGAUGGUUUUGAGAAAUCCCAAAGCAUGCCACUUCACAAAGGAGUGGAAGUAAAACACAGAGAUUGCAAGGGCCCAAUUAGAGAAAGCAUCGAGACACAUGAAGAGAUGGACAGAUGAGAAUCAAAGACCACAGGAGUUUGCAGUUGGAGACCUAGUGAUGGUAAAGUUGUUGCCUAAUCAACUAUGAUUCCUUCGUAACCGAGAUAAGAGAUUAGUUCGCAAAUACGAAGGACCAGUACCAAUUGUUGCUAGAGUUGGCCAACUUGCUUACAAAGUAGAUCCACCUGAAUGGACGAAGAUUCACACUGUUUUUCAUGUCAACAGAUUAAAGCUAUAUCAUGCAGAU
rnacentral:misc_RNA from 1 species